ACAUUUAUUAAAGGAGGUGGAAACACCAAAAGCUUUGGAGGAAGUAGGUAAAACUGCGUUAAUACCUCCAGUUUAAAAAAGCGAUCCUAAGGUAAACCAAAAAUUAUAAACGCAGUGAACUGAAACAUCUAAGUAACUGUAGGAAAGGAAAUCAACCGAGACUCCAUAAGUAGUGGUGAGCGAAAAUGGAAAUUAGCCAACAAUAUUUAAUUAAUAUUAGAAUUCUUUGGGAAAAGAAAUCCGUAGUAGGUAAUAGCCCUGUAUAUGUUAAUAAAUAUAUAAAAUAAGUAAAGUGGAAGAUAAUCUGCUUUAAUUUAAUUAGAGUAAUCUGAUUAAAACUGGGGAACCAUCCUCAAAGGCUAAGUAUGAAUGUUUAGCGAUAGUGAAGAGUAGCGUGAGUGAAAGGUGAAAAGUAAGUCGAUGACUGGUGAAAUAGAACCUGAAUUAGUAAUCAUAUAAGCAAUUAGAGCAAUUUAUCUAUUAUAUAGAAUAAAAUGUGAUAAUGUACCUUUUGUAUAAUGGGUUAGCGAGUUGAUAACAGUAGCAAGGUUAAUAGCCCUAGCGAAAGCGACUAAUACAUAUGUGGUAUAGUUACUGUAUUCAGACCCGAAACGUAGUGAUCUAUCCAUGACCAGAUUAGUAAAUAGAUCGAAUGGAUCAAUGUUGCAGUAUUGUCCAAUGAGUUGUGGAUUGUAGGUGAAAGGCCAAUCUGACUACGAUAUAGCUGGUAUUCCUCGAAACAUAUUUAGGUAUGACUUUUUGUUAGAUUUAUGCGGGUACAGCACUGAUUACUAUACUGAAUUCUUAUGAAUAAGGUUUAAUUGGGGGGUUGUUAAGACUCUAUCAUUGGUAAUUAACCUCGGAACAACAUAAAUUGAUGCAAAAAUUUCAGACUAUUCAUGAUAAGGUGGAUAGUCGAGACGGAAACAGCCGUGAACAUAGAAUAAGGUCCCAAAGUAAUGAUUAAGUGAAAAUAAGGAAGUGAUGAUUUGAAAACAACUAUAUAGUUAGCUUGGCGGUCGCUAUCUUUUAAUGAAAGUGUAACAACUUAGUAGUCUAGUGAAACAUUGCGCCGAAGAUAUACGGGCCUUAGAUCAUUCACCGAAACUAUGUCUUAAUUUUCUAUAAAUAAAUAGAGUAUUAAGGGUAGAGGAACAUUCAGUAUGUAUGAAGAAUAGUGUUUCAUUAUUUGGACAUAACUGAAGAGAUUAUGCUAACAUGAGUAACGUAGAAAGAAGUUAUAAUACUUCUCGCCGAAUACGAAAGGGUUUCAAAGUAAUGUUAAACAGCUUUGAUUUAAAACGGCCUCUAAAAUUAUAAGCUAAUGCAAGUAAUUGAUGAGUUAAAAUUAGAAAGUCUUUGACCAAGAAAAAAAUAAUUGAUAAAUUUACCGUACCCUAAACUGACACAAGUUCGUAGGUAGAGAAUACUAAGGCGUAGAGAUAAUACUGUUCAAGGAACUCGGCAAAAUGCAUCCGUACACUUGAUAAUAAGGAUGACCGAUUAUUUUUUAAUAAGUAAUCGGUGACAGAAAAUCGUGAGGCACAACUGUUUACCAAAAACACAGGUAUCUGCUAUGUUUAACAACAUUGUAUAGGUGCUGAAUCUUGUCCAAUGUCUAGAGUAUAACACGGGUACUAUAUUAGUUGCUUGUGGAACCUCUGAUCAAUGACAGACUUAACUAUAAGGUUUUUAACAGUAGCGAAAUUCCUUGGCCGUUAAAUGCGGUCCUGCAUGAAUAGAUUAAUGAUGCUUCAGCUGUCUCAAACAGUAUCUCAGUGAAAUUGAAUUCGCCGUGAAGAUGCGGUGUAGAUGUGGUUAGACGGGAAGACCCUAUGCAGCUUUACUGUAACUAGUUAAGUCCAAAUUUAAACGGAGUAUAGAGUAGAAGGUAGUCGUUAGACGCAAUUGAAACACCAUUCGAAGUUUUUAUGAGGAAUAGACCCCUAAUAAGGGUAAAAUGACUAGCGGGCAGUUUAACUGGGACGGUUUCCUCCAAUAGAGUAUCGGAGGACUUCAAAGGUAUGCUUAAAUUAGAUGGAAACUAAUUUGUUAUGUAUAACGAAAUAAAACGUAAAGGUGUAUGCAUGCUUAACUGCUAGACUGAUAAGUCAAUCAGAUACGUAAGUAGGACUUAGUGAUCCGGUGGUUCUUUAUGGAAAGGCCAUCGCUAAAGAGAUAAAAGUUACGCUAGGGAUAACAGGGUAAUAGCUCUAGAGAGUUCAUAUUGUCAGAGCUGUUUGCCACCUCGAUGUCGACUCACCUUAUCCUCUUGGUGCACAAGCUGAGAAGGGUUCUGCUGUUCGCAGAUUAAAAAGGUACGCGAGUUGGGUUCAAUACGACGUGAGUCAGUAUGGUUCCUAUCUUCCACAUCAAUGAAUAAUCAAAUUUAGAUGGAUUUUUAGUACGAAAGGACCAAAAUCUGUGUUUCUAUGGUGUACCAAUUGUUGAUUUAAAAAUCGGCACCGUUGGGUAGCUACAAACAUUAAGGAUAAAAGCUGAAAGCAUAUAAGCUAUUGAAGCCUACUAAAGGAGAUUUGAGUUAGAGAUAGACUAUCUCUAAAUAGGUCACGUGUGUAAGCAUUGUAAGAUGUGUUAGCUUAGUGAUACUAAUUUACCUUUAACUUACAUU
rnacentral:rRNA from 1 species